CCCAGACUCCUACGGGAGGCAGCAGUGGGGGAUAUUGCACAAUGGGGGAAACCCUGAUGCAGCGACGCCGCGUGGGCGAAGAAGUAUUUCGGUAUGUAAAGCCCUAUCAGCAGGGAAGAAGAAAUGACGGUACCUGAGUAAGAAGCACCGGCUAAAUACGUGCCAGCAGCCGCGGUAAUACGUAGGGGGCAAGCGUUAUCCGGAUUUACUGGGUGUAAAGGGGGCGCAGACGGCAGCGCAAGCCAGGAGUGAAAGCCCGGGGCCCAACCCCGGGACUGCUCUUGGAACUGCGCGGCUGGAGUGCAGGAGGGGCAGGCGGAAUUCCUGGUGUAGCGGUGAAAUGCGUAGAUAUCAGGAGGAACACCGGUGGCGAAGGCGGCCUGCUGGACUGCGACUGACGUUGAGGCCCGAAAGCGUGGGGAGCAAACAGGAUUAGAUACCCGCGUA
rnacentral:rRNA from 1 species